rnacentral:lncRNA from 10 species
GGCGGGGCGAGGGGCGCGCAGGCGCGAGGGCGGCAGCGACCGCCUGAGCAUUGUUGAUCCAAAUCCAAGUGUCAAGGUGCGCCCCAGAAACGCUGCUUCCCAGACAGUCGUGUCUGGUCUUGCGGGAAAGGAGGAGGCGUCCCGCCAAGGAACCAGGCGCUCAGAAGCUGAACCGGGGUCACAGAGCCGCGAAGCCAGACCUCAGUCGCUGCGUGCAUUUCAUCCCUGCUCUUGCCUGUUGAAUCGUCUCUAGUCUUUGGAGUGCCAUGAUUUUAGUUUUCUCAGGAGUAACAAACAUCCAGAGGCCAGUGUGGGGCGCAUGUCUUUCAUCUCAGCACUUUGGGAGGCCGAGGCAGGAGGAUCGCUGGAGCCCAGGAGUUGGAGACCAGUCUGGGCAAUAUGGCGAAACGCUUUCUCUCCCCUAAAAAAAUACAAAAAACUUAGCUGGGUAUGGUGGCACCUGCUGUGGGAGGAUUCCUUGAGCCCAGGAGGUAGGGGCUACAGUGAGCCAUGAUCAGGCCACUACCCUCCAGCCUGGGCAACAGUGUGAGACCCUGUCUCAAAAAAAAAAAAAAAAAAACCGCCAGAGAUACAUAGCAUAGCAUUAAUAAUUUCGAUAGUAGAACUGUAGUGCUGGCCAGGCAGUGGUUCUUGUGUGUAAUCCCAGCAUUUGGGGAGCCCAAGGCAGGAGGGUCACUUGAGCCUGAUAGUUCAAGACCAACCUGGCAACACAGAAAGACUCCAUCUCUAUUAAAACAAAAAUGUUACCAAGUACGGUGCACAUAAGGAUUACAAUGAAAAAGAGAAUGUGUAUGCCAGAAUGAAAAACGGAACCUAUUCGAGGGAGUCAACUAAAAGUAUUACGAAGAAAAUCAAAUGGAGAAUUGUUCAGAAUAGUGUAGCCUAGUGGCUUGUACUUUUUCCCAUAUGAGUUUCUACUUCGUGGAAAGGGUUUAUGCACAUCAAGAGGUAUUUGCCACCAUACAUAGACUUGCUUGCUCAGCUAAUAAUCGAAAGCAAUGCAGUCGUCCAGUGCAGCCUUAGCCAGUGAGUCAGUAGCUUUUUGUUGGGCUGUGAUGGAGGCAGCAGUUUCAUCAGCAAUAUUUCCUGAUAGGCCAGAUAUGCUCGCAGUCAUCCCAAGUAAAAGCAAACAAAUACUGACUCUAGGUCCACUGGAAUACUAAAGAAGGCACUACAUAAAUGAGUCACAGUGUCUCACU